GAUGAACGCUGGCGGCGUGCCUAAUACAUGCAAGUCGAGCGAACAGACGAGGAGCUUGCUCCUCUGACGUUAGCGGCGGACGGGUGAGUAACACGUGGAUAACCUACCUAUAAGACUGGGAUAACUUCGGGAAACCGGAGCUAAUACCGGAUAAUAUAUUGAACCUCAUGGUUCAAUAGUUCAAGACGGUUUUGCUGUCACUUAUAGAUGUAUCCGCGCCGCAUUAGCUAGUUGGUAAGGUAACGGCUUACCAAGGCAACGAUGCGUAGCCGACCUGAGAGGGUGAUCGGCCACACUGGAACUGAGACACGGUCCAGACUCCUACGGGAGGCAGCAGUAGGGAAUCUUCGGCAAUGGGCGAAAGCUUGACGGAGCAACGCCGCGUGAGUGAUGAAGGUCUUCGGAUCGUAAAACUCUGUUAUUAGGAAAGAACAAAUGUGGAAGUAACUAUGCACGUCUUGACGGUACCUAAUCAGAAAGCCACGGCUAACUACGUG
rnacentral:rRNA from 1 species